AGCAGCCGCGGUAAUUCCAGCUCCAAUAGCGUAUAUUAAAGUUGUUGCAGUUAAAAAGCUCGUAGUUGAAUUUCGGGGUCUGUCCGUCGGUCGGGCUUCACAGUCCGUACUGGUGUGAUGGGUUCCUACCUUCUGAAUAACCGGCAUGCCAUUCAGUUGGUGCGCCGAGGAAGCAGAGCUAUUACCUUGAAAAAAUUAGAGUGCUUAAAGCAGGCUAGUGCUUGAAUAGAUUAGCAUGGAAUAAUAAAAUAGGACGGCAUGGUUCUAUUUUGUUGGUUUCUAGGAUCACCGUAAUGAUUAAUAGGGAUAGUUGGGGGCAUUAGUAUUCAAUUGUCAGAGGUGAAAUUCUUGGAUUUAUUGAAGACUAACUUCUGCGAAAGCAUUUGCCAAGGAUGUUUUCAUUAAUCAAGAACGAAAGUUAGGGGAUCGAAGACGAUCAGAUACCGUCGUAGUCUUAACCAUAAACUAUGCCGACUAGGGAUCGGACGAUGUUAAUUUUUUAAUGACU
rnacentral:rRNA from 1 species